GAUCAGUUCCUUCUGUUUAUGUAGCAGUGAAGCCAUAAGCCUGUGCCUGUGAACUGGCAAUCUGUUUCCAUGGAAAUGAAAGGGAUGUCACAAAUGUAGCGCUAUGACUUCAUUUCAAGAUUGAGUACAAGGAGAAGAUGGGCAGCAAAGGAGG
rfam:Phoenicopterus ruber ruber contig125470, whole genome shotgun sequence.